rnacentral:tRNA from 1 species
UCCCUGGUGGUCCAGUGGUUAAGACUCUGCACUGCCAAUGCAUGGGGCUUGGGUUCAAUCCCUGGUCAGGGAC